AUUGAACGCUGGCGGCAGGCCUAACCCAUGCAAGUCGAACGAGUGGCGGACGGGUGAGAAAUGUCUGGGAAACUGCCUGAUGGAGGGGGAUCACUACUGGAAACGGUAGCUAAUACCGCAUACCCUCGGAUGUGCCCACAUCGGAUUAGCUAGUAGGUGGGGUAAAGGCUCACCUAGGCGACGAACCCGAGCUGGUCUGAGAGGAUGACCAGCCAAACUGGAACUGAGACACGGUCCAGACUCCUACGGGAGGCAGCAGUGGGGAAUAUUGCACAAUGGGCGCAAGCCUGAUGCAGCCAUGCCGCGUGUAUGAAGAAGGCCUUCGGGUUGUAAAGUACUUUCAGCGGGGAGGCGUUACCCGCAGAAGAAGCACCGGCUAACUCCGUGCCAGCAGCCGCGGUAAUUC
rnacentral:rRNA from 1 species